UUGGCUUCAUCGGUUAUUACUAAAAAAUUUUGUUGUUUUCAUUUUGUUAACUUUUGCCGAUAAGCUGCCAGCGCAAAUGCGCAACAUCUUUAUAAGCGAAUUGGUAUCUCCGCUGCCAGCCCUCAACCCCAGAUACGAAUACAUUUCAAAUGCUUUGAAUAACUUUUAAAUUUGCUUAAACUGCCAAGCCCGCAACGCAAUAAAAAUAACACGAACAACAUCAAAAUCCCGCCGGAUACACGUUCGAACUCACAUAUGCUAGUACAACCCAAAGGCUGAAAUCGUAGUAAAAGAAGUGCUGAACUGUGCAUAAAGCGCUGAUAGACACGGAGAUAUGCGGCCACUGACGUUCAUUACGACAUAAAUUCGUUUAGUUGCUUGGACCCGGGUCUGGCACCAAGGACGAGAUAAGACGCAAAUGCCAAUGCCGACAGUGACUAUUUCUUGGUCUCCAUUUACAAGCUCCGCACGGCGCAAAGGGCCGUAAAGUAAGUGCGUCCUUGCCACAGGGAUCCAAGAGAUGAGAGUUGAGCACUCACUAUAUAGUCUCUCCUCUGCCAGACAGCCACCUUGGGAUGUGGCUGUGGCCCGGCAACCUGUGCAAGGAAGGAUGACGCUGAAGAUGCUCUUUAAAGAUACUUGGGUGGAGCUGCACUGACUGAGUCGUGGAGACUGGCCUCCGAAGAGCAAUACAACCCGUCAAUAUGUUAACCUCAGUUCCAUAUGUCGGUGUAUGUGCAAGUUUGACCUGCUACACAAAUUACCAUCAGGGCAAGUCAGCAGCUGCCCGGCUGAACGAUUCAGCCACUCGUGGCCACAAAGACUGGGUCAAUGCCUAA